rnacentral:misc_RNA from 1 species
AAGUCGUAACAAGGUCUCCGUAGGUGAACCUGCGGAGGGAUCAUUAACACGUGUAAAAACGUAUUACUAUACCUAACUAACCAAUACCGUGAACUAUGUUUUUAUGUUAUUAACAUAACACUAUGUUUAUCUUUAUCUUUUCAUUUGUUACUAUUUUACGAUAGUAAUGAGUGAAUUCUUAACCUUUUCCAAUUUCUUCUUUUUUUUGUUAUUGUAUUCUAUAGUGUUCAUAGUAUGUUUACUAUGAUACUGUAUGAUCAUACAUAUAAUGUAAAAUAAAAAAAUCAAAAGCACAACUCUUAGCAACGGAUAUCUUGGUUCUC